rnacentral:lncRNA from 1 species
UCUCUUUCUCUCUCUCGCGCGCGUUUCAUUUGGCACGAUUUCGUUACUCUGAGCUGAAUUGAAGAACUGCGAUUCUAGGGUUUUAGAUUGAAGUAAAAAGUAAGUUUUCUUUCUUGUUUUAUGAAAUUUCUAGGGUUUCUAAUUGUUAAAAUUGAUCUUAAUGAUUUGAUUUACCUGUUAAUUUCCCCCUAAUUUGCAGAUUAGUUUGAACAAAUCAACUACACGUCUACACUACAGUACCAAUGUUUGUCUUCUUAACUCUUCUUUCUUGAAUAAUUUUAGAAAGUUUUGCUUAAAAUAAAAAAAUAUUUUGUUAAUGAUGUUUGAAAUGUUUGCCUUUUGUAGGGGAAAUUCUGAAAAUUUGAAAGGGUUUACUGAAACUGAAAACAUUGGUGUAAGUUUUUUGUACUUUUGUGUUUUCUUUCAAUUAGACAUAAACAGAAUGAGGAUUGAAAUUUUUGUCAAUUGUGGUCGUGAAGGUAACCAUAUGUUUUGUGUGAUUUUUUUUUUUUCCAGAUUUUAGUGAGUAUUGACUUAAUUAAGAAACCAGAACAGAUGAGAGAGCAGGCGAAGGAGAUAAAGAAACUAAUUGGCUGUUUUUCUCUAUCCAAACUAUCACGACGCUUAACAACUUAUGGAGUGUCUCACAUUCUUAUAAAUGCUAUUUUAAGUUAGUUGAUGCACUUCUCAUUGUUUUACAACAAAUAUUUAUUCUGGUGAUUGCCUAUGUGUGUUGGUGCACUAUAAAAAAGUUUUUUGCUAAGUUGGUGAGUUUUGCUGAUUACAAAAUGAAGAAUGACCCUCGAAAAAGGAGAGACCAGAUGGUUGAUAAAAAGGAUUUAGUGAUACUCCGCGUCCAGCUGUGGUUGGUGAUCUUUGUGACCAGUGCUUCAGUAGUUCUCUUUCCUGUUAAGCUUGGACUACUUAAUUACAACUGCGGUAAGAAGUGUAAAUAUAAAUCUUUAGAAAUGAAAUAUAUUAUUUUUAUUUUGACUUAGUUUUCGUUUUUUCUUGUUCAGGUUCCUAAUUAGGUGACGCUGCUUUAAAAAGUCAUAUUAUGAGGUAAUGUCAAAGCUCAUCAUUUUCCUUUAUAAAUGAAAACCAAAGCUGGAUCAUUAUGUCUUUUUUAACUUGAUAUUUGUAUUGGUACAGGUUAUUCCCCUUCUGGAUUGUUGUGAUUGAACUAUGAUAUGAUGGGAGGAGAAAGAUUCAAAGUACUGAAUUGGAUUUAGAUAUCAUGUGGUAUAAAUUUGUGGCUAUUAGAACUGACAGUUUCAAUGUGACUAUUGUCUAGUAUUAUCCUUGUUGUUUCUAGUUUGAACUCUCAAUAUGAGUAUGUUUACUAAUACUACACUGUACUAUACUACUAUAGUGGCUGCCUGGAUGGCCUAUUAAAGAUGUUGUCCUUGUUUGAAACUUUGAAUCAGUAAAUUUGAAAUAGACAACAUUGUUGUUAUUAUUGUCAAGUAUUUUUUAUGUUUAUAUCUUGUGUAGUUUGGAUCUCGAUAGAUUUUUGUAAGUAUGC